AGCUUGCUCCCUGAUGUUAGCGGCGGACGGGUGAGUAACACGUGGGUAACCUGCCUGUAAGACUGGGAUAACUCCGGGAAACCGGGGCUAAUACCGGAUGGUUGUUUGAACCGCAUGGUUCAGACAUAAAAGGUGGCUUCGGCUACCACUUACAGAUGGACCCGCGGCGCAUUAGCUAGUUGGUGAGGUAACGGCUCACCAAGGCAACGAUGCGUAGCCGACCUGAGAGGGUGAUCGGCCACACUGGGACUGAGACACGGCCCAGACUCCUACGGGAGGCAGCAGUAGGGAAUCUUCCGCAAUGGACGAAAGUCUGACGGAGCAACGCCGCGUGAGUGAUGAAGGUUUUCGGAUCGUAAAGCUCUGUUGUUAGGGAAGAACAAGUGCCGUUCAAAUAGGGCGGCACCUUGACGGUACCUAACCAGAAAGCCACGGCUAACUACGUGCCAGCAGCCGCGGUAAUACGUAGGUGGCAAGCGUUGUCCGGAAUUAUUGGGCGUAAAGGGCUCGCAGGCGGUUUCUUAAGUCUGAUGUGAAAGCCCCCGGCUCAACCGGGGAGGGUCAUUGGAAACUGGGGAACUUGAGUGCAGAAGAGGAGAGUGGAAUUCCACGUGUAGCGG
rnacentral:rRNA from 2 species